UUUCGAAAAAUGAAAGGUCUUCUUCAAUUUAGUAUGCAAGAUUUCUGUACAAUUAAUGUUGCAGAAACAUCUAUACUGUAGUACAUACAGAAUGAUUAGAGUAGAAGACUGUUGCAUUCUUUGCCGCGCAGCGAAAGUUUUU